rnacentral:rRNA from 1 species
AGUGAACGCUGGCGGUAGGCCUAACACAUGCAAGUCGAACGGCAGCACAGUAAGAGCUUGCUCUUACGGGUGGCGAGUGGCGGACGGGUGAGGAAUACAUCGGAAUCUACUUUUUCGUGGGGGAUAACGUAGGGAAACUUACGCUAAUACCGCAUACGACCUACGGGUGAAAGCAGGGGAUCUUCGGACCUUGCGCGAAUGAAUGAGCCGAUGUCGGAUUAGCUAGUUGGCGGGGUAAAGGCCCACCAAGGCGACGAUCCGUAGCUGGUCUGAGAGGAUGAUCGGCCACACUGGAACUGAGACACGGUCCAGACUCCUACGGGACGCAGCAGUGGGGAAUAUUGGACAGUGGGCGCAAGCCUGAUCCAGCCAUACCGCGUGGGUGAAGAAGGCCUUCGGGUUGUAAAGCCCUUUUGUUGGGAAAGAAAAGCAGCAGGUUAAUACCCCGCUGUUCUGACGGUACCCAAAGAAUAAGCACCGGCUAACUUCGUG